GAGAGUAACUGUUCAGGUAUUGACGGUAUUUAACCAGAAAGCCACGGCUAACUACGUGCCAGCAGCCGCGGUAAUACGUAGGUGGCAAGCGUUGUCCGGAUUUAUUGGGCGUAAAGCGAGCGCAGGCGGUUUUUUAAGUCUGAUGUGAAAGCCUUCGGCUCAACCGAAGAAGUGCAUCGGAAACUGGGAAACUUGAGUGCAGAAGAGGACAGUGGAACUCCAUGUGUAGCGGUGAAAUGCGUAGAUAUAUGGAAGAACACCAGUGGCGAAGGCGGCUGUCUGGUCUGUAACUGACGCUGAGGCUCGAAAGUAUGGGUAGCAAACAGGAUUAGAUACCCUGGUAGUCCAUACCGUAAACGAUGAAUGCUAAGUGUUGGAGGGUUUCCGCCCUUCAGUGCUGCAGCUAACGCAUUAAGCAUUCCGCCUGGGGAGUACGGCCGCAAGGCUGAAACUCAAAGGAAUUGACGGGGGCCCGCACAAGCGGUGGAGCAUGUGGUUUAAUUCGAAGCUACGCGAAGAACCUUACCAGGUCUUGACAUACUAUGCAAAUCUAAGAGAUUAGACGUUCCCUUCGGGGACAUGGAUACAGGUGGUGCAUGGUUGUCGUCAGCUCGUGUCGUGAGAUGUUGGGUUAAGUCCCGCAACGAGCGCAACCCUUAUUAUCAGUUGCCAGCAUUAAGUUGGGCACUCUGGUGAGACUGCCGGUGACAAACCGGAGGAAGGUGGGGAUGACGUCAAAUCAUCAUGCCCCUUAUGACCUGGGCUACACACGUGCUACAAUGGAUGGUACAACGAGUUGCGAACUCGCGAGAGUAAGCUAAUCUCUUAAAGCCAUUCUCAGUUCGGAUUGUAGGCUGCAACUCGCCUACAUGAAGUCGGAAUCGCUAGUAAUCGCGGAUCAGCAUGCCGCGGUGAAUACGUUCCCGGGCCUUGUACACACCGCCCGUCACACCAUGAGAGUUUGUAACACCCAAA
rnacentral:rRNA from 2 species